ACCACUUUGAAUAAUUUUGGCAUUCACAAAUUUGGCCACCUCACUACUCACCUGCUUUUCCAGAUCUUUUAUGAACAUGUUAAGCAGCGCUAGUCUUGACACAGAUCCCUGGGAGACCCUGCUGUUUACUUAUUUCCAUCCUGAAAUCUGACCAUUUAUACUCACCAUUAGAAAUAGGUGUAAACAUAGAAAACAAAUUUAUGAGUGUACCUUCCCUGUAGUCCUUUCUUAAGACCCUCUGAUGGGGAAUCUUGUCAAAAGCUUUCUGGAAGUCUAGAAAUACUAGGUCAACUGGAUCGCCCCGAUCUACCUGCUUACUGACACCUUCAAAGAACUGUAAUAGGUUGGUGAGGCAUGAUUUUCCUUUAACAAAACCAUGUUGAUUUCUCCCCAGCAAGUCAUGCUCAUCCAAACACUGA